rnacentral:lncRNA from 1 species
UCAUGUUUAUGCUCUCACACAAUGCUAGCAACCAAAGGCUACAAAAAGCUUUUCAACACAGCGGCGAGACGAUCCAUCAGAAAAUAACAGAAGUUUUCAAAAUAAUUUAUGCCUUAACUCAUCGAUUUGUGAGACUUCCAAGUUCAUUCCAAACUCAUAUCAAAAUCGCGAUAGAUCCUCAUUUUAUACCCUUCUUUCAGGUGUGCAUAAUCCUUUCCCCGGUCCUUUCGUGCCAAGUCCUUAAUUUCUUUUCUUGCAUGCCAAGUCCUUAAUUUUUCUUUCCUUCCAUGCAGAAUUGCAUUGGUGCAAUCGAUGGCACUCAUAUACCAAUCACCAUUGCAGAAGACAAGACCCCUCCCUACAGAAAUAGGAAAGGAACCCUAUCACAUAAUAUUAUGUUAGCCUGCAACUUCGACCUUAACUUCACAUUCAUUUCAUGUGGAUGGGAAGGGUCAGCAUCAGAUGCAGGAGUCCUUAGAUCUGCUGAUAGCAAAUGAUUUAUUGUGCUAGAGGGGAAGUUCUAUUUUGUAGAUGGUGGGUACGCAAAUACAUCAUCCUUUAUUGCCCCGUAUCGAGGAGUUCGGUACCAUCUCAGUGAGUUUAGAAGGCAUCGUUCGUCUCAAAGUGGUUAUGCAAACUACAAAUAACUGUUUAACCAUCGCCAUGCAUUGCUUCGCAACCAUUUCCCAAAAAGCCAUUUCCCCCUCUUUUACCAAUUGGAAGCACUAUAUGAAGGUGAAGUUCCCUCACUUGCAUAGCUUAAUUUAUUGCUUUCAGCAUCAAACAAUUUUGUGGUUCUAAUAUGAGUUCCAAUUGUCUCCUGAAAAUAGGAAGUGUUGCUACAGGAAAUCUAAACUUCACAUCAACCAUGCAAGUGGAUCCACCUUCUGCUCCUGCACCUCCUCCUCUUGUUACUCCUGCUGUUCCUCCUCCUGCACCUCCUGUUGAAAGAAGUAACUUUGAACAAAGCAGUAGUCACUUGGGUGCGAAUCCAUUUGCUUCGAGUUCGAUGGCCAACAGACUUCUAAUGCACAUAAUGAACGCAAUGAAGCUCAAGAUUCAAGACAAGAAGAAGGUGGACUUGGGAGAAAGUGUAAGCAAAGUCACAUUGAAUCUGCUCUUGAGGGAUAUGUGGAGUACAAAAAGAGCCAAACCAGCAAAACUUUGCAAGCUCUUGAAGAAAGGAAAAGGCAUGACAAAGAAUUUUCAGUUGAGAACUGUGUUGAUCAAGUGGAUGCUAUGAUUGAAUUAACCAAUGAGGAGAAGUCAUAUGCUUUGGAUGUCUUUGAGUCUGAGACACACGGGAAGAUAUUCAUUACAACCAAGAAUCCUAAUGUUCAAUUAAUGUGGCUAAAGCGAAAAAUCAGGUAUGUUUCUUUGAAUAUGCUCAGUGUAUGGUUCAUGAAAAACUUACUAGUUUCAUCAUGUCUAACCAUGUAAAAUUUUGUUUUGUGUGAACCUUCUGUUGCUGACAUGGCUAAAUUAUUUCAACUUUUUUUGUUAAUUGCAGAGUCCUGAUGGGAAGCACUACAUGAUCCGAGAGUUAGUCGCCAAGAUCCCAAAGGUACUUGUCUCUUUGAAUAUGCUCAGUGUAUGUUCUUUGAAUAUUCUUGAAUAUUGAAUAUUGAACACAUGUCAUCUCUGAUCUGUGUUUGGCAUCUCUUUGGGUUCUUGUUUCAUGUUUCUGUAUCAAUUUAUAUUUCAUGAGACGAACCUACACCAUAUUUUUAAAUAUAAUGCCAGAUGCAGCAAUUAGAAGUUACCUAGAUAUUGCUAGGUAUUGUUGAUGAAAUAUGCAGAAUUAUGAAUUCCCGUAUGUCCUUAAUAAAUUCUAGGAAUGGGGAUAAAUUAGUACAACAGAAAUAAUUCUAGAAAUGCAAAUAAUUUGGUAUGCUAAACAAUGGUAGCAAUAUGGACAGCUUGAUAAACCUGAGAGGAGUUCUGGUACUACCGCACCUUGGACCAGUCUGUGUCCUGUAACUGAAUGCUAUCUCGUUGAUAUCUUAUAUCCUGCGGGACUACAAAUAUGCAAGUUUUUACCAUGAUACAUUUGGCAUUGCUAAUCACUGUCAUAACUGAAUGCUAUCUUGUUGAGCUCAGGAAGCUGAAGAAUCACUUCCCUAGAUGAAAGAAAGACUACAAAUCUGUGUUAAGGAGGAGCUCAGGAAGCUGAAGAAUCACUUCCAUAUGUUUGAAUGCUCUGUUUCUACUAUGUGCUGUAGUCGUAAACCUAUAUGUAUUGUAGUAGUAACUGUACAGCACAUAUGUGCUGUAGUCUCGGUCAAACAGGGAAAUAUUGUGCGGUCGCAAAUACUGUUGCAGAAUGUUGUUGACUCCGUCUAUUUCUUGGUAAGCUAGUUGUGUCCUUUUUAUAUGGUCUCUAGUUGUUGACAAAUAUUGUGCUGUAGUCGUAAAGCAGGGAAGACAAUAUUUGUUGUUGGCAAAUAUUGUGCUGUAGUCAUAAAACUUUGCAAUUUUCUAAUUUUCCUUUGUUUUUUUUCUUUGGUGCCAAACAGCAACGGGGUAGGGGGCAGAGGGAACUCACGGGGAAUAAAUUAGCCAAGAAAAUCCCCGUCGGUGAUUUAAUACGCUGGAUUAAUAAUCCUUUGCUUCCAAACUAGACCUCGUGGAAGAGAUGAGGGGGUAAUAUGGACUUCUUUCUUCAGUGAACAGAGGGAAUAAAAGGUUACUAGUUUAGCACUUGACAGGCAACACGCAACACCACGAGUGAAAUUGUAGACUAGUCCAAGGGGGAUAGCAACAGGUUGAGAAUGGCGCUUGCCUCUUCUGGCCGGGGAUGUGUCGCAGAUCUCGCGCUCGCCGCCUUGCCGGAGGUGUGGGUGCUCGCCGCCUUGCUGGAGUCUCGGCUGCUGCUGCUGCUGCCCGUCGGGGUGGCGGGGCGGAGCGCCAGAUUCGGCGAGGCGCCGGUGGAUCCGCGGACGGGGGCGCCGCGCGACGACGGCGAGCCCCUGGCGGCGGCGGCGCGGUGGGAGGAGACGAGGGUUUCGGCCGACGCGUAAAAACCGGUGUGGGCUUCGGGCUAUCGGUCAGAAC